rnacentral:lncRNA from 1 species
AUCUACGCCCCUUUCCCUACCGCCCGCCCGAAUGAGAAAAGUGAAAUCAAUAAGAAUACAUAUUUCUUGCUAAAAAAAAAAAAAGUACAUGGAGUAUUUCUUUUCCUCCGGUAAAAGAUUGUUUGGCGGCAAUAUAUUUCAUGUUUAGACGGUUAUCAAAAACAAGAAAUCGAAAAACCCCUCGUUCUUAAACUCAUUGUUCCUCAAUCAGACUUUCAGGAGUUUGCGUCUGAAGUCAUUGCCAAUUUGAAGACACCCGAAAGGUGAGACACUCGUCUGAGUCAGCCAUCAAUUCUGACUCUGUUAUGCUCUAUGAAAAUUUUGAUAUAUCGAGUUCAAUCAAUUAGUAAUUGAAUUGCCAUCUUCUUCUUUUCAGCCAUCAAUUUUUUUGCAUAUCUAAUGGUACUGGUGAGGUAAGAUUUUGAUGGGCUUUUACAUAAGUUUUUCUCCACGAUUUUCAAUUGUCCAUCUUCUUCCUUUCAGCCAUCAAUUUCGGCGUAAAUUCGUAGGCUCUAGUGAGGUAAAGCUUUAAAAUGCUUGUUUUCUUCUUAUUCGUACAAUUUGGAUUGAACAUCUGAUAUUUUUAAUUUGUUAAUUUUAGUACUGUGAUUGGGUACUAGAAUAUAAUUUCAAAUGUGAAAUUAACAUCAGCAGUUUUUAAUUUGUCUUUUUUGUUUUUGCUUUUUAUGAACGUCGAAUAUUGUCAACAUUUUUAUAGCGAGCUUGUCUUCUUAGUUGGGAUAUAUGCUUAUUUUCAUUCAAGUAUAUAUGUUAUGAUUGAUUGCUUAGGAUGGUUGUUAAUAUCCUAAUUAAUUUUUGUGAGAAAAGUGAACAAGGCAAGCUUAGAUGCAUAUUUAAAUGCAGUGAAUUGAUAUGAAGAAUAAGGUUGUGUAUGGAGGUUCAUUAUAGAGAUGAUGUUUUUCUUAGGAUUUUGUGUUUCAGGUUUGUAUUAUAGUUUGUGCUACAUGUGUAUUCUGUCAAUAUUUCUAGGAUUGUGAAUCACUUAUAUAUUUGCUUAUUUGCAGUAUUCAUUAUUCCUUUCUUCUGCUUCAGCUUGGGGUAUGUAGUCAUCUUUUAUAGUGUAUCAUCACUCAUCAGAGUAAUGAUUGUGUCAGCCUUCUAUUAGUUUCAUGUGCUAAAAAUUUCUAGGAAUUGUCUUGGCACCUAAAGUCAAAAACUUUAUGACAAGAGAUAAUUCAUGUUGGUGCUUCUACUGGGAUGACAGGGAUCGUGCAUGCUCUAUUGCUCUUAAUUAUCCUUGAAAUGGUUUGAAUUGACAAUUUGAUUUAUAAAUUUUGUUGCCAUGUGUAGGAUCAGACUGUGGAGUUUUGAUGCUUACUUGCCUUCAGUUGAUUAGCUAUAUAUUUUGAGCAUAAGAACUAUAUAAAUUGUUUUUGUUAAAUUUCAGAUUGCUCAUCCAAUUUUACCCUCAGUGUCUGUGCUAGGUAAUAAAAGUUUUCUAGUUUACGACCUCCCCAUCCCCCUCCCCAACCCAACAAAAAAUGGUUCUAUAUAUUUCAUUCUACUAAUGUGAAUAGCAACGUAUUUACGGUUGUGGACUGAUAUUUAAUGAUCUUAACUUUGGAUACAUAUACUAUAUGUACUCAUGGCAGACACACAAAUCUGAAAUAAGAUAGUUGCCAAGGUCAUUUUUGUAUGCCUAUCUUCCAAGUUCCUAAUGUUAAUAGUUAUUGAGGACAUUGUUGUAGUUUUUUUUUUUCUCUAUAUCUUUCUCCAGACUUGAUGGUAUCAAAAUAGGUAUAUCUUGAUAAGAUUGUGAAUGAGGAUUAAUUGGUGGCCAUAACAGACACACAUAUUAGAUUGUUCACACUACUUAACACCGUAGCUAUUUCAGUACUUGACUAAUGCAUAGAGAUGGUACUGAAUCAGGUCGUAGAAACAGGUUAUCGAAUUGUAUCAGUAGUUAUUUCAAUACUUGACUAAUACAUAGAGAUGGUACUGAAUCAGGUAGUAGAAACAAGUUAUCGAAUUGUAUCAAAAAGCUUCAUGGCCAUUUUUUGAUUCAUUGUUGUUGAGUACCCACAUCAUUAAUAAAGAGAAUACACUAUUAGUAUAUCUCGUGUAUUUUUCACUAAUUAUUUACAACAUCAUACAUUCACCAUAUCAAAUUGCACUUGCAGGUAUGACUUUAAAACUGGAAAGCAUAAACAAACCACAUUUAGCUUGUCAAAUGAGCCAGUGAACCAGCCACAUAGUAAGAUUAUGCAUCACCACCAUAUAUGUUAUAUGCUAUGUAAUUUCUCUUAUUAAAUAAUUAUAUAUGGUUUUAUCUUUUAGGUAUGACAACUAGAACUCAAGUGGAGCAUCCAAUGGGGCUGUACAAGAAAGGCAAACUCAUCGAUUAAUGCUGCCUAGCCCACAUACACAUGUAAGCGAAUUUAGCGCUAACUGAUCAAUUAGGUAUGAUUUCAAAUUUAUACCUUAAAAACGAAAUACUUAUAUUAUCUAAACUAAAUUAUAUUUCCGUUGAUAUAAACUUGUUCAAUACUUUCUUAUCUACUAGUUAUUAAUAAACUUAUAUGUUUGGAAUUAGAUAACUAUUUGGUAGGUGGCCAAGCUUCUAGUUCACUUAUUGAAGAGUCAAUACAACAAAAUACAUGCUAGGUUACUAGUGGAAUGAUCAGACAACAGACAUGACUUGAUGAUAAUCAAGAAAAUAGUAAGUUCUAGUGCAUUAGAUAUUAUUUUGAACUUUUAAUAUUAAUUUAUGAAUUUUGCAAAGUGAUUAGAUAAUUAUGAAAUGCAGAGAAGAAAUGUAAAAGUUGGGAGAUAAGUGAUGGGAGAGAAUUGGUGUCAAAUGCAAGUUAAAAGCAGUACUUGAAUCUGAAGAGCGAUUGGUUCGACCUUAUGUUUUUUGUCAAACACUUGGAGAGACGCACUUGGUGAAAUGGUUGCAUGGCCAUGCGGUUUGGUAAGUAAUUUUGUAUUAUUUCAUAAGCUCUUCCAUUGUAAAACUUUUCAAACUUGAAAUGAUAUGUAUUUUUUUAUGUAUAGGUGACACUCGUUGGAUGACAACAAAACAUCAAGGUCUUCAAUUGAAGAAGUUUAUACAAGAAAAGUUAGAUGUUUCAAAGAAAUUUAGAUUUUAGCUAAAUGUUGUAAGUACUAGGUUUCCAUUCAAAAUUAUGUACUUAUGAGACAAUAUAGUAGAUUUGAUAUUUUGCGGUUGUCAAUCUCUGUUAUUAGGCACUUUGACUUUUCAUUGUAAAAUAUAUUUGUUCAUUUGUUAUAUAUAUUUAAAUUAUUUUUAUUUUCCAAAA